AGAGGUGCUCUCCAGGGACUAGAGAGAUGGCUCAGCUGUUAGGAAUGUUGGCUGCUCUCCUGGAAGACCCGAGUUCAAUUCCCAACGCCCACGUGGCAGCUCACAACUGUCUCUAACUCCAGUUCCAGGGGAUCUGACACCCUGACACAGACACACAUUCAUGUAAAACAUGAACUCACAUGAAUAAAAAUAAAUAGAAAUAAAAUAAUAAAUAAAAGGUGAACUCCAGGGCAGCCAUAUAUGGUCCUCAAGCAGUCAUGGCCAUGGUACAAGGGAAAGUGGGACAUAGUAUAUGAGUCCCCCACCAGCUUAGGUGGAUGCCCAAUUAGCCACACCCCAGUCUACUCAGCAGCAAACCUUUGAGGCCUUCCAGUCCCUGCUCCUUGGAGAAAAACAGGUGCCAUCCUCUGACUAAUCUGGCUAUCUUCUAGUAUGCUCUUCCCCUGGUCCUUCUCCCCUGGCCUCCCUCAGACUUUUCUCUGUCUCCUCCCCUGGUACUUCUCACUGCCCCGCAGAGGGAGGCUCACUUUGCACGGCUACGCCGGGCUCACCAGGUAUGCCUUUUUGAGUGGUGUGAAAUGGGGAUGCCACCCAUGGUGUGUCCACGGCUGCCCUCAGCCUGCAUGGGAGAUGCCCUGUAUCCAUGGAUACCCUGCCUGAGCUUGCUGUCACUAGGAGAGUCUGGAGGAGUGUAUGCUGUGCUGUGCAUCACCAGCCAUGUGGUGUGUUUCUGGUGCCAACAGUUGGAGUACUGCAGACAGGAAAAUUAACUUGAUGUUUGUCCAUGUGACUGUGCCUGGCUGCCCAGUUUCCCUGUGUAUUUGCCAAAACCCACCAUAACCUCUAUGCAUGUGCCCUUCCCGUAGCUGGGAGAACCCUAUGUGCUGGCCCCGAGAUGGAGAGUGCCUCCCUCACCAGUCACGGUGGCCUUCCUUGCUGGCACCAUGCAUGGGGAAGAGGCUGUCCACAGUGUUAGGUCUGACCCCAUGAGGUCUGAGCUAGCCUGUGACUUCCACCCCAUCAGAACCGCACAUCCCUCUCAGAGGAACAGUGGCGGGCUGCUGUGACAACAGGGAGGAUCCUCGGGGACCCAGUGGGCAGGGGCCGGGCACAGCGGCCAUCACAGGUGGAUGAGGCUCAAAGGAGGAUGGAUGCUGAGAUCUGGCAGCUCCUUGCCAGCUUUGCUGCCCACCCCCAGCCCCCUCCUCGUGGGCUGCACCCCCACCCCCAGCUAGCCACCGCCGCUCUACAAGCAGGUCCCCCCUCCUCUUCUUCCUCUUCUUCCUCUUCCUCCUUCACUUCUCUGUCUUCCCCAGCAGGCUCACAGCUCUCACUUUCCUAUGAUGGCUUCUCCCUGCUGCCCGGAAGCCUCUAUUACUGGCAGCUGCCCCGAGCCUUCCUAGGGAACAAGGUAACCAGGAAGUAGAAGGACCACAGGUGGCCAGAGGAGUCUUAACUGUCAGAGGGUGCGAGGCAGAACAGCCCUCUCUAAAGUGCAGGCAUUAGGCCCCUUGCUGUAUGCUGUAUUGCCAUUGUGGAAGCCAAGGCUGGCCUCCAAGAACUCUCCACUGUUCUCACUUACCAGUCCUGCAUUCUGGAUGUCUCUCUAUUUUUUUGUAUGUGUGUGUUUG